rnacentral:lncRNA from 1 species
CUACCUGGCACCGGCGUGCUGUCCCUGGACGGCGGGCGAGGGCGGCCAAUCCGGGGUGCUCCGCGGGCGCCGAGCUCGUUGUCGGGGCUACCCAAAUCCAGAUUCCAUGUAUCUAACUUUUCUGACUGCGAGGUUCCUGAAGGGUCACGACCAGUUUUGUUGAAUUCUGUUGAAACACACGUGGACUUCACAAGCUGGCUCUUUCUGCCUUCUGCUGUUCGUUCCUCAAAAUGCAGACAGAUAUGUUUGAACGGGAAAACGUUUGCCAGCUAUGGACAACCCAAGCGUCUGCAUCACUCUGACUUUCAGGUAUUUGAGGACCUUGAGUGGUUACCUCCCUUAACUUUCUCAUGUUAAGCUUCAAUAUGAU